CCUACGGGUGGCAGCAGUGGGGAAUAUUGGACAAUGGGCGAAAGCCUGAUCCAGCCAUGCCGCGUGUGUGAAGAAGGCCUUCGGGUUGUAAAGCACUUUCAGUGGGGAAGAAAGCCUUGGGGCUAAUACCCUCGAGGAAGGACAUCACCCACAGAAGAAGCACCGGCUAACUCCGUGCCAGCAGCCGCGGUAAUACGGAGGGUGCGAGCGUUAAUCGGAAUUACUGGGCGUAAAGCGCGCGUAGGCGGUCUGAUAAGCCGGUUGUGAAAGCCCCGGGAUCAACCUGGGAACGGCAUCCGGAACUGUCAGGCUAGAGUGCAGGAGAGGAAGGUAGAAUUCCCGGUGUAGCGGUGAAAUGCGUAGAGAUCGGGAGGAAUACCAGUGGCGAAGGCGGCCUUCUGGACUGACACUGACGCUGAGGUGCGAAAGCGUGGGUAGCAAACAGGAUUAGAUACCCUUGUAGUC
rnacentral:rRNA from 1 species